UUCCAUCAGCACUGACAGCUCGGCGUUCCAUUCAUUUUGAGAGCAAGAAGAAUGAAGGCUGGACUGCAGUCAAAGGAAGCGAGCAGCUGAAUGAGAAUUUCGCUUGGAUUAUUUGCUGAAACGAACGCGCUGGCCGCGACCCACGCAGCAGAGCCGACCGGUUUUUGGGAUGUGGGAGGAAACCGGAGUGCCUGGAAGAAAAUCCAAGCAGGCACGGGGAGAACAUGCAAACUCCACACAGGCGGGGCCAGGAUCGAACCCGGUUCCACAGAACUGUGAGGCCGACGCUUAACCAGCUGAGCCACCGUGCCACCUCACACUAUUGAGAGAGGAUUUAUUUCAAUUACGUGCUUUGUUCCCAUGGCAACUGUGCAGACAACGCAGGGGAAGAACUACGGAAUGUGUUGCAGGUGCAAGACGCAGUCAAUCGAAGCACUUCGGAGUUUUUAUGUUCACAUAAAUCAAGCAUAUCAUGAAGCACCGGGAAUAUAAUCUGAUAAUUUACUUCAAGACAAAGAAGUGACUAGCUGGAUGGAAACGUUCCAGUUUCAAAAGUAGGUUCAGAUUUAGACUCAAAUAACGAGAGAGAGAGAAAGAGAGAGAGAGAGAGAGAGAGAGAGAGAGAGAAAGAGAGAAAGAAUCAAGUAAUUGACGUCGCCCCUAAAAAUAAUAACAAUUGUUUGUAUUAGUUCUUUUAACUGUAAACAUCCCACAAACCGUGAUCCCCAAAAUGAACUUCCUGUAUUAUCCUUAAAAAUAAAUGGCUUUUGAAUCAUUUGAUCCAGAAAAAAAAAUGCCCCCCCAAGUCCAUAUGUGCAGUGUUGAAAGUAAACUUAAUACAUAUCUUUCAGCCAAACAGCGUUUAAAGAGAGUUUUAGGUUUCAGUGGAUUCUAGCCUUUUAUUUAAACAUGUUUUUUUUCAUUAAUUUUAACUGUUCUAGAAUAAUGAUGUAUCUUAAUCUCAUAUUCUUGUCCUUUUACUAUUGUCAACUUUUUAUCAGUAUUUUUUUUCUGCUCCAAAAAUGUAUGGAAGCAUGCGUGUACGUACAAAUGUGUUUCGAGUACGCACACAUAUUGCAUUCCCCCCCCCAUUUUCUUCCCAUAUUUUGGCCCCGCCUCCUACCCAAAAAUAUUUGGGAUUGGCUGCAGCACUCCCGUAACGCUUAUGAGGAUAAGCGACACAGAUAAAGGAUGGUUGGAUGCUUAGUUUAUUAUGUACCGCAUUUAUAAAUAAAGU